UUUCAUUUUACAGUAGUCAUAUUUCAAAACCCUAACCUCAAAUUCGUAACUUCAUCUCUUCUAAUGUAUGCGUGCUGCCUCUCUCUCUCUCUCGCUCUCUCUGAGCACAUUCAGAGAAAAUGAAACCUCAAAUCUCAAUCUCUAUCAUCGUCGAUAUCAAGCAUAGCCCAUUUCCAGCCCCCAAUUGCACACCCAUAAUCACUCUCAAGAAAAUGGAAGAAUGGUAAGUAUGAAAUUGUGGAAGAAAUUGAAGAGAUGGAAAGAAGUCCAGAUCUAGUGACAUGGAUUAUGAGGAGGAUGAACUGUUGUCAGAUAGUGAUCCUGAAGGAGAGGAUAAACUGUUGUCAGGAUCUCUAAGAGUUACCAACCGAGAAAAAGAGGGAAAUGAUACUUACAACACGCCAGCGGGCCCUUCUAAGCAAGGAUGCCUCUUCUGCAUCCGGGAAAAGUCAAAUUGAGUUCCCAAAUGGUUUACCCCCACAGCCGUCUCGAAGCGAGUAUCUUUAUUUCAUUUUUCUGAUUUUUUGUUCAUUUCCUAGUUAUUUACUAGUCAUGUCUCGUCUUUGCCAAUUACCUAUGUUCCAGUGCAAAAGGAGAAAUUGUCAGAAAUCGAAUAGCAAUUGAAGAAAAUUGUGGCCCCUUAGAAGUGUAGAAUGCUAAAUGAGAAAGCAGCCCAGUAAUAAGAGUUUGAAGUGUCAGAAUCAAAUUAAUCAGCUAUUGGAUCGAGUUUCUCCGGCAACAUCCACAUUUUCAAUGGUAUGCUGCUUUCAAACUUUAAAGAAGAGUAUCUCUGUUUCUGAACUCUGUUUUUUUACUUAGACUUGCACUAUUUAGGUGCAUUGCAUGAUAUUUAUAUGAUAAUAGUUAUUGUUGCACUAAUGAAGUGAAUGAGCGGUCACAUUGUCGUUCUCUAAGACAUUAGAGAUAAUGUUUGUUGGUUUUUUAAUCUAUUUUGUACUCAAAGAGAUGACAAGAUGAGCACAAAUGUAGAUGUUUUUCCUUCAUUAGAUUGUAUUAAAGAUGUAAAAGGAUAAAGGAAAGGCUUUGUUACCUUCUGAUUGUGGAGUUAAUGAAUAUUAUGCCCAUGAUCUUCACUGAUUAUCUAGAUUUGCCCAGCCAUGAUCUCACCUAGCAUUUGAUAAAAAUAGAUUUAAAAUACCACCAGACUGACUUUGGUUUCCAAUCUAGCUAGUUCAAAGUUGUGCAUUUUAUUUGAAUUUAUGAUUUUUAUUACUUGUACAAAUGUAUUUUAUUUGCAUGUAUGUGUAGUGUAAUGAAUAUAUUUCUUUUGAGUUGAUUUGUGUGGAGCUUUAUGAUGUUGGAAAUUUGUCUUGUUUGUGAUUAUAGAUGGCACUGUAAUGGUACAUUUGAUGUACGCAAUAGAACUGGAGGUUGUUUUGGAACCAUGAGGUUCCAUACUGAGCUGGCUCAUGGAGCCAACAAUGGCAUUGACAUUGCUUUUAGGUUCUCGUAGCCCAUUAGGGAGCAAUUCUCUUUCCUUUAUCUUACUGAUUUCUAUCAAGAAGUUUAUUGAUUCAGAA